GAACACUGGGGGCCUACCUGUUUGUCU
rnacentral:piRNA from 1 species